rnacentral:rRNA from 1 species
GAGAACAUCGCCCUCACGGGUGACUCUCCAACCCUAUGUUAUACAACCUUUGUUGCUUUGGCGAGCCGUCUCGGCCGCUGGCUUCGGCUGGCGAGUGCUCGCCAGAGGACCUAAACUCUGAAUAUUAAUGUCGUCUGAGUACUAUAUAAUAGUUAAAACUUUCAACAACGGAUCUCUUGGUUCUGGCAUCGAUGAAGAACGCAGCGAAAUGCGAUAAGUAAUGUGAAUUGCAGAAUUCAGUGAAUCAUCGAAUCUUUGAACGCACAUUGCGCCCCGUGGUAUUCCGCGGGGCAUGCCUGUUCGAGCGUCAGUACAACACUCAAGCUCUGCUUGGUAUUGGGCCCUGCCGGCAACGGCUGGCCUUAAAAUCAGUGGCGGCGCCAUCUGGCUCUAAGCGUAGUAAUACUCCUCGCUACAGAGUCCCGGUGGAUGCUUGCCAGCAACCCCCAACUUUCUAAGUUUGACCUCGGAUCAGGUAGG